CUUCUCUCAGGAUCGCAUCUGGAAAGUUUCCAGUACUCUACCAGUCUCGGCUAUGGGAGAGAGAGAGUCAAGCAGAGGCCUGUCCAUUCCAUUCCUACCUUGAGCAAUGGAUAGCGAAUGGCAGGCAAUCUGCUACAAAU